UUUUGACCUCGGAUCAGGUAGGGAUACCCGCUGAACUUAAGCAUAUCAAUAAGCGGAGGAAAAGAAACCAACAGGGAUUGCCCUAGUAACGGCGAGUGAAGCGGCAAGAGCUCAAAUUUGAAAUCUGGCUCCUUUGGAGUCCGAGUUGUAAUUUGUAGAGGGUGCUUUGGCGUUGGCUGUGGUCUAAGUUCCUUGGAACAGGACGUCGCAGAGGGUGAGAAUCCCGUAUGUGGCCGCCAGCCUCCGCCGUGUAAAGCCCCUUCGACGAGUCGAGUUGUUUGGGAAUGCAGCUCUAAAUGGGAGGUAAAUUUCUUCUAAAGCUAAAUAUUGGCCAGAGACCGAUAGCGCACAAGUAGAGUGAUCGAAAGAUGAAAAGCACUUUGGAAAGAGAGUCAAAAAGCACGUGAAAUUGUUGAAAGGGAAGCGCUUGCAGCCAGACUUGCCUGUAGUUGCUCAUCCGGGCUCACGCCCGGUGCACUCUUCUAUGGGCAGGCCAGCAUCAGUUGGGACGGUUGGAUAAAAGCCCGCUAAAUGUACCUCUCUUCGGGGAGGACUUAUAGGGUGGGUGGCAUACGACCAGUCCCGAUUGAGGUCCGCGCAUCUGCUAGGAUGCUGGCGUAAUGGCUGUAAGCGGCCCGUCUUGAAACACGGACCAAGGAGUCUAACAUCUAUGCGAGUGUUUGGGUGUCAAGCCCGAGCGCGUAAUGAAAGUGAACGGAGGUGGGAACCCCUCGGGGCGCACCAUCGACCGAUCCUGAUGUCUUCGGAUGGAUUUGAGUAAGAGCAUAGCUGUUGGGACCCGAAAGAUGGUGAACUAUGCCUGAAUAGGGUGAAGCCAGAGGAAACUCUGGUGGAGGCUCGCAGCGGUUCUGACGUGCAAAUCGAUCGUCAAAUUUGGGCAUAGGGGCGAAAGACUAAUCGAACUAUCUAGUAGCUGGUUCCUGCCGAAGUUUCCCUCAGGAUAGCAGUAACGUUUUCAGUUUUAUGAGGUAAAGCGAAUGAUUAGAGGCCUGGGGGUUGAAACAACCUUCACCUAUUCUCAAACUUUAAAUAUGUAAGAAGUCCUUGUUACUUAAUUGAACGUGGACAUUUGAAUGUAUCGUUACUAGUGGGCCAUUUUUGGUAAGCAGAACUGGCGAUGCGGGAUGAACCGAACGCGGGGUUAAGGUGCCAGAAUGCACGCUCAUCAGACACCACAAAAGGUGUUAGUUCAUCUAGACAGCAGGACGGUGGCCAUGGAAGUCGGAAUCCGCUAAGGAGUGUGUAACA
rnacentral:rRNA from 1 species